rnacentral:lncRNA from 1 species
GCCCCUAGCAAGGAACCACCAGAGCGCGCAUGCGGGAGCCGAGGCCGCAGCACUGGGUGGGCAGCUAGCUCGCCGAAGACCCACGCAGCGGGCCAGGCGCCAGCGGCCGCUAGGUCUGGGCGCGGGGCCGGGCCGGUGAGAGAAGGGUCCGGGGCACCCAGUGGGCUCGGAUCUCGAGCGGUCCCCGUGACGGCCCCGCGACUGCGCGACUUCCCGCUCUAGAGAGUUUAUGGACCCUGUCCCAGGAGGGCUCCGCAGCCGCCAGGGAGGUACCGGAGGGACCGCGGCGCUGGGAGAAGGUGGCGCCAGGCGGCCCUGGAGCCCUGGGCGACGCGGCCGGGCCGGCCAGAGGGCGGAGAAGUCCAAAGCAGGAGCCCGGACAGCCGCUUCCGCCCCUGCGCCGCCCUCCCGGCCCAGUCUGUGGGGCAGGAUUUCUUCCUUGUGUCAUAGUGGAGGAAACUGAGGCAGAGGGCCGGUGAAUGACAAAGUCAGGGAAAUGCUCUGAUUGUGAAAUGCCCCCUAGGCCUCGCAGGUCCCUUCAAGACACAGCAUCCCUCGGGUUGCUGCAUCAGUGGGCUGUUGGCUUGGGCACCCCAAGCUCAGCACCAUGUGGGGAUGAAGCUGGGGAAUGUGGGGGCAGGGAUAUUCGUCCCCCGUAUCGGCACGGC